AUAAAAUAGUUAUACUUAUAAGCAACUUUAUAUUGAGUUAACCCAACUAUAAAACAACAACUAAAAUUGUUUGAUGCAUUUAACUUUUCCUUUAGGUAACGGCAACUAACAAUACAAAUCUAGAUUAGCUAUAAUAAGUUAGCACAACUGAAAUAUGAUAACCAAUUAAGUUUUAGGUAACCACAGAAUAAUGUUAUUCACCAGUUAAUCAUCUCUAAGGUGAGAUUAUUUACUGCCAACACACAGUUUCCGUAUUUAUGUUGUUUUUUCACACAUAAACUAUUUUAAUCUAACUGGAUUAGUAGCUGUAGGUGGUCUAAUAAUAGAAAUGGAUAGUUUGAGUAGGAGGGUCUUAUUAAUUGAAAUAAUUCUUGAGUAAGUUCAUUAAUAAUAUUUAGUGUAAUCAUUACCAGGCUAUGAUAACAUAUGCUAUCUAUUUAUAUUUUUCCUAUAUUUCAUUAACUAAUUAAACUUAACAAGAUAAAAUUAUUUAUUUAUAAAUAAAACAAUAACAUCUGCAGUUAUCAGAAAACCAGUUAAAGAAAUACAUACGCGGGUACUUAUACCUACCUUUCGUCGAUGUUUAGACUUUCUUUUUGAUAUUUCGAUGACAAUUAUAAAGUUAGGUUACCUAUGAAUUUUUGUGGUUUCUUGUUGUGACGAUGUAACAAUUAGAUUUUCAAUAAAAUUGAAAUUUGAUUAAUUUGAAGUAAGUACUAAAUAAUUAAUUCCAAAAAAGGCACAAUAUAAAGUGCCCAGUAUUUGUUAUUGUACAAACCAUGGCUGUAGAUAGAACAGCAGCUAUUCCAUCGGAUCUUUAGUCGUUAUGGUAACGUCUAUAAACGUAUUCAGGAGGACAAAGAAGGCGUUUUACGAAAAAUUGGAGCGAAUGCACAGUGCAUACACCCUCUCCGCCAGUCCCUCUCAAAUGACACCGAGUAGGUACCUAUAUAUACACACUUUAUAAAGUGUAUAACAGUGACAGACGACAGUUGUAUACGACACUCGGGCAACACUUAUAAUCACGACAUUCUUACAAUUAUUCAUAUUAUAUAUAACAAUAGGUAGGUAAUAAUAAUUGUGUGUAGGUAUACAAAACAUACCUACUAUAAUAGAAGUACAAUAGUUCUGUACAUAAAUAGGGACCAAUACAGUAAUAGGGAGACAAAAUGAUUAGAUACUGGUGAGUACCUAGGACCCAGCGAUGAUAAAUAUAAUUUAUAGCAAUAGGUAAUUAUCACGUUUUAAGAUAUUAUGCACUUAAAUAAAAAUUUAUCUUAAAUCGUGGAAGUGUCAAAUGAUAGUGAUAGAAUAAAUGAGAAAAUUAAAAAUAUCAGGAGUCAGGACUCAGGAGAUUUCAUAGAAUUAAGUUACAUUAUAAAUUAGUAGAUUAUAAUAGUCUUCGUGUAAAUGCGUAAUCACUGCCUACAACGAUACCAGUAUUUUGUAAUUAACUGUAUAUGGAUGUAAGUGCACCUUUUCAGUUCGAAAUGUUUAAUGUGGAUAUUUAAUCGUCAACAAAAAUGCAUACUCAAAACUAUGAAAUUAGACAUUUUUCCAUAAUUUAAUCGAGCCUUCAGAUGUACCUAAGCGUGAAAAAAACUGAUUUGCUUUUGGAACUAAUUUUUGUUUGUGAGAGAAGUGUUUGUAUAUUUUCCAAUAAUUAGGAGUUUAUAAUCUCGUCGUAAUUUCGGAUACGUAGUGAACAUUUGUAUGCAAUACUAUUAAUUAGAAAUAACUAGGCAAUCGACUCUAAGGAUUACAACGCAUUCUUAUUUAUAUGUUAUUUUGGCUCCAUCCUUAUUGCAGGUUCCCAUAACAGAAAAUGGACAUCCUAGUUAGUUCCCUAUAGAUACAUUCGAAUUGAAACAUAAUUUAUAUUAAACUACAAAGUACCUAGUGACAAAUAACAGAACAAUAAGACUAAAAGUAAAGAAAUGUAUACACAGAAAUGGGCAUUUAAUAAAAAAGACUGGAAUUUCUAACUCCGUAAAAUAAAACGUUUAUUAUUAGUAUUAUUAUUAGUUUUGUACAUUUAAUUUAAAACAAAAAUUAGGAAACAUAAAAAAUAAAAAAUUAUCCUUCGUAAAAACUCGGGAACCAAUUCGAAUAUACCCUGCGAAACAACCCGGAAGUUUCGGAACCAUUUCGAACGCACCCGUUAUUUUUAACAAAGUAGUACCGGCCUAUUUGAACACAUUAUACACUUUAUUUAAAAAUUGUACAAAUAUAGCAGUAUAAUAUGCACAUGGUAAUAUAUCUGUAUCAGCUAUCGUGCAUGAAAUGCCACCAUAGGUUCAUCACGUGUAAUUUCUUUGUCAGUCAAACGUGAGCAAAGUGCAAAUUAAUAAUUAACCAAUAGGCACCUAUAAUUUAUUAUCAGUCAUGUGUCAGACUUCUCAUACCAAUCUGGAUUGGCCCGAAAAUAUUAAGUGCAUGUUUUUUUAUACACCUUUAUAAAUAAAAAUAACUUACUACGAACAUUCAAUAUAAAACGUAGGUAAAUGUCAGGAAGAGAGUGCUUGAUAAAUGGAAUAAUUCAAGGUUCACGGGGGCGAAAUUGAUACACAAUAAUACGUAACAAUUAGCAUUACUUACAAGCACGAUGUUUGCGAUUUGAUUAAUUUGAUUGAUUAACAUUUACGCAUGUAGGCCAGUGUUGAUGAAUAAUAAACGCCUCAUCUAAUCUCCGACAUCUAGAUAUCACGUGAUCUACUAAAUUUUAAUAGUUAUAUACACAACAACAGAAUGAAUGUGUCAUCGCAUUAUUGAAUACCCAGGAGCUAAACAAUUUUCAUAAAGAUUAUAGAAACAGGUACUUGAUAAUCAAUGGAGUUAAUAAACUGAAAUCGUAAAAUGUGAUGUUUAAAAGUUAAAAUAUUAUUUUAUUGUAAAAACAGAAAAUAUUGUCCAAUAAAUCUGUGUUUUUUUCUAUAAUGUAUAAUGUACAUCUAGGAAAUUUAACGUUAAUUUGUACAAAUCUUUCUAUAAAUCUUAAUAAUCUUGAAUAAAUUACAUCAUAGUUUAAAGUAUUUGUAGAGGUUAUCAGUUACAACU